CCUACGGGAGGCAGCAGUGAGGAAUAUUGGUCAAUGGCCGUAAGGCUGAACCAGCCAAGUAGCGUGAGGGAAGACUGCCCUAUGGGUUGUAAACCUCUUUUAUGCGGGGAUAAAGGUGUCCACUGUGGAUGUUUGCAUGUACCGCAUGAAUAAGGACCGGCUAAUUCCGUGCCAGCAGCCGCGGUAAUACGGAGGGUCCGGGCGUUACCCGGAUUUAGUUGGUUUAAAGGGAGCGUAGGCCGGUCUUUAAGCGUGCCGUGAAAUUUUGUGGGUCAACCAUGAGAGUGCGGCGCGAACUGGAGACCGUGAGUGCGCGGAAGGCAGGCGGAAUUCGUGGUGUAGCGGUGAAAUGCUUAGAUAGCACGAAGAACCCCGAUUGCGAAGGCAGCCUGCCGCAGCGUUACUGACGCUGAAGCUCGAAAGCGCGGGUAUCGAACAGGAUUAGAUACCCUUGUAGUC
rnacentral:rRNA from 1 species